rnacentral:rRNA from 1 species
AUUGAACGCUGGCGGCAGGCCUAACACAUGCGAGUCGAGCGGAUGAAGGGAGCUUGCUCCUGGAUUCAGCGGCGGACGGGUGAGUAAUGCCUAGGAAUCUGCCUGGUAGUGGGGGAUAACGUCCGGAAACGGGCGCUAAUACCGCAUACGUCCUGAGGGAGAAAGUGGGGGAUCUUCGGACCUCACGCUAUCAGAUGAGCCUAGGUCGGAUUAGCUAGUUGGUGGGGUAAAGGCCUACCAAGGCGACGAUCCGUAACUGGUCUGAGAGGAUGAUCAGUCACACUGGAACUGAGACACGGUCCAGACUCCUACGGGAGGCAGCAGUGGGGAAUAUUGGACAAUGGGCGAAAGCCUGAUCCAGCCAUGCCGCGUGUGUGAAGAAGGUCUUCGGAUUGUAAAGCACUUUAAGUUGGGAGGAAGGGUAGUAAGUUAAUACCUUGCUGUUUUGACGUUACCAACAGAAUAAGCACCGGCUAACUUCGUG